rnacentral:rRNA from 1 species
UAGGGAAUCUUCCGCAAUGGACGAAAGUCUGACGGAGCAACGCCGCGUGAGUGAAGAAGGAUUUCGGUUCGUAAAACUCUGUUGUUAGGGAAGAAAAAAUGUAUAGUAACUAUAUACAAAAGAGACGGUACCUAACCAGAAAGCCACGGCUAACUACGUGCUAGCAGCCGCGGUAAUACGUAGGUGGCAAGCGUUGUCCGGAAUUAUUGGGCGUAAAGCGCGCGCAGGUGGUUUAGAAAGUCUGAUGUGAAAGCCCACGGCUCAACCGUGGAGGGUCAUUGGAAACUAAUAAACUUGAGUGCAGGAGAGAAAAGUGGAAUUCCUAGUGUAGCGGUGAAAUGCGUAGAGAUUAGGAGGAACACCGGUGGCGAAAGCGGCUUUUUGGCCUGCAACUGACACUGAGGCGCGAAAGCGUGGGGAGCAAACAGG